UGCAUAUCAAUAAGCGGAGGAAAAGAAAAUAACAAGGAUUCCCCUAGUAACGGCGAGUGAACCGGGAAGAGCUCAAAUUUGAAAUCUGGCUGUCUUCGAUAGUCCGAGUUGUAAUCUAUAGAAGCGUUUUCCGUGCUGAACUGUGUAUAAGUCCCUUGGAACAGGGUAUCAAAGAGGGUGACAAUCCCGUACUUUACACAAUCAUCAGUGCUCUGUGAUACGUUCUCUACGAGUCGAGUUGUUUGGGAAUGCAGCUCAAAAUGGGUGGUAAAUUCCAUCUAAAGCUAAAUAUUGGCGAGAGACCGAUAGCGAACAAGUACCGUGAGGGAAAGAUGAAAAGCACUUUGGAAAGAGAGUUAAACAGUACGUGAAAUUGUUAAAAGGGAAACGAUUGAAGUCAGUCGUGUUUAUUGGAUUCAGCCGGUCUUCGGUGUACUUCCUUUAAACGGGUCAACAUCAGUUUUGUCCGGUGGAUAAAGGCAGUAGGAAUGUGGCUCCCUCGGGAGUGUUAUAGCCUAUUGUCACAUACACUGGAGGAGACUGAGGACUGCAGCUCGCCUUUUGGCCGGGGUUCGCCCACGUUCGAGCUUAGGAUGUUGACAUAAUGGCUUUAAACGACCCGUCUUGAAACCACGAACCA
rnacentral:rRNA from 1 species